AGAGUUUGAUCCUGGCUCAGGACGAACGCUGGCGGCGUGCUUAACACAUGCAAGUCGAGCGGUAAGGCCCUUCGGGGUACACGAGCGGCGAACGGGUGAGUAACACGUGGGCAACCUGCCCUGCACUCUGGGAUAAGCCCGGGAAACUGGGUCUAAUACCGGAUAUGACCACUUGUCGCAUGACGGGUGGUGGAAAGUUC
rnacentral:rRNA from 1 species